CCUUGUGUGUCUCACACACCCAUCCCUUAUCGUGUCCUUCUCCCCCCAUUAAAGUGCACCCACGUGGGAGCCGCGUGUCUUGUCUCCUCCCUUUGCACUUGUCUCGUCUAUCCUGUGUUCGUCUACACACCCCACCCGCCGUUUUUAAAAGAAUAAUAUUUUGGUGCCGUGACGACUCGGGGACUUCUUCAUGCCGGAUUCUCCACCCGAGGCCUGGACUCCGGGCCUCUGGCGCCUCCCGGAGUCCGGGACCUCAAGCCGGACACAGAGUCAGAACCGAGACCUACAGCCACCACCGCUCACCACAGCCAUCUCUGACUGAUACCACCUAAUUCGUCUCGUCUAUCCUGUGUUCGUCUACACACCCCACCCACCGUUUUUAAAAGAAUAAUAGUGUCCUGGUGAAAAGUAAUGGGUAUGUGCUAGCAGCUUCCUCAUUCCUGACACCCAGAUUGCUCACCAGAUCCCAGAUGAACUGUGUACCAUCACACAUACCCAGGAGAACAGACUCUUCCAUGUGCUACUGAGAUCUUAAGACUACUGUAGUCACCUCAUUGUGAAAUCUUGCAACUUUCCAGCUUCCUUGUCCUGAGUGUGCCACAAUCACAGUUGAGAAGAACCUUCAUCUGGCGAUGGAUGGAGAUAGAGACAGAGACCCACACUGGAGCACAGGACUGAGCUCCCAAUGUCCCAAUGAGGAGCAGAAGGAGGGAGAAGAUGAGCAAAGAAGUCAGGACCAUAAGGGGUGCACCCACCCACGGAGACAGUGGGGCUGAUCUAUUGGGAGCUCACCAAGGCCAGCUGGACUGUGACUGAAAAAGCAUGGGAUAAAACUGGACUCUCUGAAUAUGGCAGACAAUGAGGGCUGCCGAGAAGCCAAGGACAAUGGCACUGGGUUUUGAUCCUACUUCAUGUUCUGGCUUUGUGGGAGCCUAACCAGUUUGAAUGUUCUCCUUCCUAGACCAGGAUGGAGGCGGGAGGACUUUGGACUUUCCACAGAGCAGGGAACCCUGA